UACGUAGGUGGCAAGCGUUGUCCGGAUUUACUGGGCGUAAAGCGCGCGCAGGCGGUUUUUCAAGUCAGUGGUGAAAGCCCGGAGCUCAACUCCGGAACUGCCAUUGAAACUGUGAAACUUGAGGAUGAGAGAGGUGAGUGGAAUUCCCAGUGUAGAGGUGAAAUUCGUAGAUAUUGGGAAGAACACCGGUGGCGAAGGCGGCUCACUGGCUCAUUUCUGACGCUCGGGCGCGACAGCGUGGGGAGCAAACAGG
rnacentral:rRNA from 1 species